AAGAUUAAGCCAUGCAAGUCUCAGUACAUGCCGCACUAAGGUGAAACCGCAAAAGGCUCAUUAAAUCAGUUAUGGUUCCUUGGAUCUUAAACAGUUACUUGGAUAACUGUGGUAAUUCUAGAGCUAAUACAUGCAAACAAGUCCCGACCAGAGAUGGAAGGGACGCUUUUAUUAGAUCAAAACCGAUCGGCGUUCGGCUCCGGCCGGCGCCGUCUCUUUUGGUGACUCUGGAUAACUUUUAGCCGAUCGCACGGUCACAGUACCGGCGACGCAUCUUUCAAAUGUCUGACUUAUCAACUGUCGAUGGUAGGCUCUGCGCCUACCAUGGUUGUAACGGGUAACGGGGAAUCAGGGUUCGAUUCCGGAGAGGGAGCCUGAGAAACGGCUACCACAUCCAAGGAAGGCAGCAGGCGCGCAAAUUACCCACUCCCGGCACGGGGAGGUAGUGACGAAAAAUAACGAUACGGGACUCAUCCGAGGCCCCGUAAUCGGAAUGAGUACACUUUAAAUACUUUAACGAGUACCAAUUGGAGGGCAAGUCUGGUGCCAGCAGCCGCGGUAAUUCCAGCUCCAAUAGCGUAUAUUAAAGUUGUUGCGGUUAAAAAGCUCGUAGUUGGAUCUGUGUGCCACGCUGUCGGUUCACCGCCCGUCGGUGUCAACUGGCAUGUCUGUGGGACGUCCUGCCGGUGGCGGUACGGGCUGUCGGCGCUGCGUAGGGGUUCCCCCCGAAGCACGUCGGCGUGUCCCGGUCCGCCGAUUCAAUCCCGCCGCGGUGCUCUUCACUGAGUGUCGAGGUGGGCCGGCACGUUUACUUUGAACAAAUUAGAGUGCUCAAAUCAGGUCGUAUUUAGGCCUGAAUACUGUGUGCAUGGAAUAAUGGAAUAGGACCUCGGUUCUAUUUUGUUGGUUUUUUGGAAUCAGAGGUAAUGAUUAAUAGGGACAGUCGGGGGCAUUCGUAUUGCGACGUUAGAGGUGAAAUUCUUGGA
rnacentral:rRNA from 1 species